GACGAACGCUGGCGGCGUGCUUAACACAUGCAAGUCGAACGGUAAGGCCCUUCGGGGUACACGAGUGGCGAACGGGUGAGUAACACGUGGGUGAUCUGCCCUGCACUUCGGGAUAAGCCUGGGAAACUGGGUCUAAUACCGGAUAGGACUCCUGACUGCAUGGGUGGGGGUGGAAAGCUUUUGCGGUGUGGGAUGGGCCCGCGGCCUAUCAGCUUGGUGGUGGGGUGAUGGCCUACCAAGGCGACGACGGGUAGCCGGCCUGAGAGGGUGACCGGCCACACUGGGACUGAGAUACGGCCCAGACUCCUACGGGAGGCAGCAGUGGGGAAUAUUGCACAAUGGGCGCAAGCCUGAUGCAGCGACGCCGCGUGAGGGAUGACGGCCUUCGGGUUGUAAACCUCUUUCAGCACAGACGAAGCGCAAGUGACGGUAUGUGCAGAAGAAGGACCGGCCAACUACGUGCCAGCCGCCGCAGUAA
rnacentral:rRNA from 1 species